rnacentral:sRNA from 1 species
AGAGAAACUUGAUAUAAGUGUUGUCUAAACACUUCUUAUUAUAAUUAGUCAAAUGCAUUGGAUUGUGACACAUUUUGACCAUAAAAACACUAACAAAACUGUUUACUGCUUCUAAGCAAUUUUUUGUUGGUUUAAGCCUCUUUUGGGAGAAAAUAGGUGUUAGUGUUGUAUGAACACUCCUAAUCCAUCUCUAACUGUUAAAAUUAGUCAAAUGCAUUAGAUUGUGACACAUUUUGACCAUAGAAACACAAACAAAGCUAUUUACUGCUUCUAAGCAAUUUUUUGUUGGUUUUAACCUCUUUUGAGAGAAAAUGGGUAUAAGUGUUGUUUAAACACUCGUAAUCAAUCUUUAACACUUAUAAUUAGUCAAAUGCAUUGGAUUGUGACACAUUUUGACCAUAGAAACACUAACAAAGCUAUUGACUGCUUCUAAGCAAUGUUUUGUUGGUUUUAGCCUCUUUUAGGAGAAAAUGGAUAGAAGUGUUGUCUAAACAGUCCUAAUCCAUCUCUAACUCUUAUAAUUAGUCAAAGGCUUUGGAUUGUGACACAUUUUGACCAUAGAAAAACUAACAAAACUAAUUACUGUCUCUAAGCAAUUUUUUGGUGAUUUUAGCCUCUUUUGGGAGUUAAUGGGUAUAACUGUUGUCUAAAAACUUCUUAUCCAUCUUUAACACUUAUGAUUAGUCAAAUACAUUGAAUUGUGACACAUUUUGACCAUAGACACACUAACAAAGCUAUUGACUACUUCUAAGCAAUUUUUUGUUGGUUUUAGCCUCUUUUGGGACAAAAUGCGUAGAGGUGUUUUCUAAACACUCCUAAUCCAUCUCUAACUCUUAGAAUUAGUCAAAGGCUUUGGAUUGUGACUCAUUUUGACCAUAGAAACACUAAGAAAGUCAUUUACUGCUUCUAAGCAAUAUUUUGUUGGUUUUAGCCUCUUUUGGGAGAAAAUGGGUAUAAUUAUUGCCUAAACACUCCUAAUCCAUCUCUAACUCUUAGAAUUAGUCAAAGGCUUUGGAUUGUGACUCAUUUUGACCAUAGAAACACUAAGAAAGUCAUUUACUGCUUCUAAGCAAUAUUUUGUUGGUUUUAGCCUCUUUUGGGAGAAAAUGGGUAUAAUUAUUGCCUAAACACUCCUAAUCCAUCUCUAACUCUUAUAAUUAGUCAAAUGCAUUGGAUAGUGACAAAGUUUGACAAUUAAAACA